GCCAGUGCAGUUCCCGUCACAGCAAGUGCUUCCUCUGUCGGAGCAGACAAACUAACUGAAGCCACAGCCGGAAGCAGGCUGACCACAAGUGCUAAGGUUCUGGUUAGUUCUUUUCUAGGUAAAGUUGGAAAAGUCCCUGCAAAAGCAAACACUAAAGUUUUAGACACGGGGGUGGCAUUGACCAGCCUCUUAAAAUGUUGAUUGGAAAGAGGGAAAGAGAGAGUGUGUGUGUGUGUGUGUGAGAGAGAGAGAGAGACAGAGAAAGAGAGAGAGAGACAGAGAGAGAGAGGAGGAGGAGGAAGUUGGAUUGUAUGAUGCAAAUGCUAAUCAUUCUGAGAAAUGGGGUAUUUUUUUUUUCUUGCCAGGUUCAGAUGAAGUGCCUGUUCUAAGAAAGACUACAAGAUUCUGUAAAUUUCGACACCAGCCUCGUGACAUGAGUAUGUCAGUAGAAAGAGGACCAGCCUGGAAUCAGAAGUUAAAGGUUCAAGUUGUGAUGCUCCAACGUGUACACAGGACAGUGAAGUUCCUCCCUCUAGCCCUUCCAUCAGUUCCUGGGACUACCCCUGGAAGAAAGAAGGUAGCUGUCUACAGGGUUUGUAGCACCAGCUCUCUCCUGGGUCAAGAAAGACGCAAGACUUGGGCUAGUUCCCCUUGUAAACAGACGGCAGUGACUCGCCAGAUGAAGAAAAAAGGUUCAAGAAGCCAAGUGCCUAAACCAUAGUCACACACCUAGGAAGCAGCAGAAGCCAAUCAGAACCCAGGUCUGACUCCCAAGCCCAACCUCUGAACUCCUUCGCCAUCACAUUUAUUCUAAAAGGAAUAUUUUUUCUU